rnacentral:rRNA from 1 species
CAGUCGCCGCGGGAAUACGAAGGGGGCUAGCGUUGUUCGGAUUUACUGGGCGUAAAGCGCACGUAGGCGGACUUUUAAGUCAGGGGUGAAAUCCCGGGGCUCAACCCCGGAACUGCCUUUGAUACUGGAAGUCUUGAGUAUGGUAGAGGUGAGUGGAAUUCCGAGUGUAGAGGUGAAAUUCGUAGAUAUUCGGAGGAACACCAGUGGCGAAGGCGGCUCACUGGACCAUUACUGACGCUGAGGUGCGAAAGCGUGGGGAGCAAACAGGAUUAGAUACCCGAGUAGUCCCUGUCUUUUAUAU